rnacentral:lncRNA from 1 species
UCCCGCAUCCAAACCAUGUGAAAACCCUAGAAAAACUGUCAGCUCUUUGAUCUUGAUCAAAGGCUCCAAAAUUCCCUAAAAAAUUAGUGUACACACUUCCAGAUCAGGCCGACUAAAAUUGUAGUUGUCGAAUCAACCUCCAAAUCAAACGAGGACCAUUGGAUGGUGCAAAACAAACCUUUAGAACUCUUUUUCUAAUCGAAAACCACUUGGACCAUCUGAUCAAACACAUGGAAUGAGCUCAGCCAUCGAUCAGCGUAAACUUGUUUUUGUGCACCCACCAGCCUGCC